ensembl:snRNA U1 U1 spliceosomal RNA
GUACUUGACUGGCAGGGAGAGACCAUGAUCAUGAAGGUGGUUUUCCCAGGGUAAGGCUUAUCAAUUGCACUCCAGAUGUGCUGACCCCUGCAAUUUCCCCAAAUUUGAGAAACUCGACUGCAUAAUUUGUGAUGGGGACUGCAUUCAUAUUCUCCCCUU